GAGACUCUGUGCGCGUGCAUAUCAAUAAGCGGAGGAAAAGAAACUAACAAGGAUUCCCUUAGUAACGGCGAGUGAAGCGGGAAGAGCUCAAAUUUGAAAUCUUCAAGGUUCUACCUUGACGAAUUGUAGUUUAUAGAAGUGUUUUCUGUUAGUAGAGUGGCAAAAGUUCUUUGGAAUAGGACAUCAUAGAGGGUGAGAAUCCCGUAUUUGGUCAUUCUUUCUAGCUUUGUGAUACACUUUCAAAGAGUCGGAUUGUUUGGGAAUGCAGUCCGAAAUGGGUGGUAAAUUUCAUCUAAAGCUAAAUAUUGGCGAGAGACCGAUAGCGAACAAGUACCGUGAGGGAAAGAUGAAAAGAACUUUGAAAAGAGAGUUAAACAGUACGUGAAAUUGUCAAAAGGGAAGCGUUUGACACCAGUGUUGUUUUUCCGAAAAUCAAUUACGAAUGUUUUGUUUUUGAAGAAGUUAUGACUUCAUCGGCUUGCCUUCUCUCUUUACGAAACUUUCUUAAUGCACUUUUCGGUUAACAAGUCAACAUCAAUUUCUUUUGUUGUAAAAGGGUAUGAGGAAGGUGGCUUUCUUUUCGGAGAAAGUGUUUAUAGCCUUGUACCUCUGCAAUCGGAGAGAUUGAGGUCUGCAGCGUAGAUCCUUCGGGGUUAGAUACGUUUGUGCUAAGUUAUAGCUUUUCAUAGACAACUUGUUGACUAUGUUUAGUCUUGUAGCUUACUCGCUGAUGCUAUUUUACCUACGCUUAGGAUGUUGACGAUCAGCUGAGCGCG
rnacentral:rRNA from 1 species